rnacentral:rRNA from 1 species
GUAGUCAUAUGCUUGUCUCAAAGAUUAAGCCAUGCAUGUCUAAGUAUAAGCAAAUUUGUACUGUGAAACUGCGAAUGGCUCAUUAAAUCAGUUAUAGUUUAUUUGAUGGUCCUUGCUACAUGGAUAACUGUGGUAAUUCUAGAGCUAAUACAUGCUUAAAAGCCCCGACUUCUGGAAGGGGUGUAUUUAUUAGAUAAAAACCAACCCUUCGGGUCCCUUGGUGAAUCAUAAUAACUUCUCGAAUCGCAUGGCCUUGUGCCGGCGAUGCUUCAUUCAAAUAUCUGCCCUAUCAACUGUCGAUGGUAGGAUAGAGGCCUACCAUGGUUGCAACGGGUAACGGGGAAU